CCAUGCCAUUGCUACGUCCAACACACAUUAGAGACAAUGAGUUUAAAUCUGGGAGAAGCUGACCUCCCACCUCAUGCAAAUCCCAGGCUGCCCUGUUCCCCAUCUUUGUUCCAGGGAUGUGGACUUCACAGGCAUGCUUCACAUUUGUAUUGCAGCUGCCAACAGACAUGAAGUAAUUUCAUACAUCUAAAGUGUUGUGUUUAUAUUUUGUGAAGUGAAUAAAUAAUUAUAUUCACCACA